UUCUGGAAUGCUCCACGCCGCCAGGGAAUUGGAGCUUGGGGUCGUCAAUCCCAAUUCCAAUUCGACUCUCCAGCGGCGAUUCUACUUCCAAUCGAUCCUUGCGAGCUGCGCGCAAUCGAGGGAUUUGGCUCGCGGACGAUUGAUCCACGAGUGGAUUUCUUCUUCCAGCGAUUUGAGGCACGAUGGAGCGCUGCUCAAUAUCUUGCUCCAAAUGUACGCGCGAUUUGGCGAAUUGGCGCUCGCUAGGGCAGCUUUCGACGCCAUGGAAGCGCCGGAUCUCCUGUCGUGGAAGAUCAUCAUUGGGUGCUAUGCUCAGCGUGGGCAUCUGGAGGAAGCGCGGUUUCUCUUUGAUUCCAUGCCGCAGUACGACGUGGUGGCGUGGACGACCCUAAUCUCUGGCUACUCACAAAACAAAUCGCUCAUAUCAGCUAAAUCCCUGUUUGAUUCUAUGCCGGAGAGAAACGUUGUUACCUGGAACACCAUAAUGGUAGCAUAUGCCCGUGAAGGCCAUUUGCAAGAGGCAAAAUCAAUCUUCAAGGAGAUGCCGGAGAAGAACAUAUUCUCGUGGAACACUAUGGUGGCGGCGUCCGUACGAAUGGGUUCCCUCCCGGAGGCUAGGGCACUGUACUACGCAAUGCCGGAACACGACGUAGUAACUUGGAACACAAUGCUCUCUGCAAAUGCCCAGGAAGGGCAUUUUCUGGAAUGUGAGAUUCUCUUCGCUAGCAUGAAGGAAAGGAAUAUAAUUUCGUGGACAACUAUGUUGGAAGCAUAUUCCUCGGCUUGCGACUUGCAUGGUGUCGAAAGAAUAUUCGCAGCGAUGCCGGAAAGGAAUGUUGUGUCUUGGACUUGCCUUGUUCAAGCAUAUGCCCAGUCUGGGCAUUUCGAUCUUGCCGAAAAAGCGUUUCGAUCGAUCCCAGAGCCCAACAUUGUCGCGUGGACCGCGCUUGUCGUUGUGUAUGGUGACAGCGGCCGGAUAGACGAUGCGAUCACGACGUUUGAUUCAAUGCCCUCGCAAAACCUUGUGUCCUGGAGCGCGAUGCUCUCGAUCAUGGGGCAGCACCGGCGGAUGAUCUCUCAAGCAAAGCUUCUCUUCGAUCGGAUGCCCGAGUGGAACACCAUGAUAGCCAACACGAUGAUCGCAGCUUUUGUCCAGAGUGGAAACCUCUGUCGUGCAAGAGAGUUCUUCGAGGCUAUGGCGGAGCACCGAGAUGUAGUCUCAUGGAACAUGAUCCUCGCGGGCUACACCCAAGAGGGUCGAGGCGAGGAAACGAGAAAUCUCUUCGCAAAGAUGGACCAGAGGGACAUUGUCUCGUGGGCGACUGUUCUUCAAUCCUACACCCAAUCCGGGCAACUGGAAGAUGCAAGGCGCAUCUUCUUCGACGCCAUGCCCGAGUGGAAUCUCUCUGCCUGGACGAUCAUCAUCACCGCCCACGCCCAAUUCAAGCAGCUAGACCUUGCCGCUGAUUUCUUCUUCAAUCGAAUGCCUGAUCACGACGUUGUCUCCUCUAAUGCAAUGCUCUCUGGAUUUAUCUCUAGAGGUUUCUAUGAUCGAGCCAAAUCUAUGUUCCAGGCGAUGAUCCAUCGAGACGUGGUAACUUGGAAUAUCAUGAUCUCUUCAAAUGCCGACACUGGGCAUCUUGAGGAGGCCAAAACGUUGUUUGAUAGAAUGCCGCGCUGGGACGCCGUGUCCUGGGCGACGAUGGUAUCGGCAUAUACUCAGGCCGGGUACCUCCAAGAUGCCCGCGUCUUACUGGAGAAUAUGCCCCGCUGGAGCACUGUAGCAUGGAAUACCCUAAUCGCGGGCUAUGCCGCGAACGGGCAUGUCGGGGAGGUGCUGGCGCUCUUCUAUCGAAUGCUGGAUCGCGAUAUUAUCUCCUGGAACGCGCUGAUCGUCGCGUUUUCUUAUAGCGGGCGUCUAGAUCGCGCUAAGGUGGUGUUUGAUCGAAUGCUCUACCGCGACAUCGCGUCCUGGAACGCGAUCAUUGGCGCAUUCAGCCACUCCGACAGUGCUGUGGAAUCGAUCUGGCUGCUGCGAUCGAUGGAGCUGGAGGGAUUCCUGCCGGACGAGUUCGCGAUCGCGAGCGCCAUGGCGGCGUGUAGCAGGAUCGGGCUGGUUGGAGCUGGAAGGAGCUAUCUGGCGCUCAUGGAGGAGGAUUAUGGCGUGAAGCCCUCGCUGGAGCACUACAGCGCCAUGGCCGAUGUGUUUGGGAGGGCCGGGCAGCUGGGAUUCGCCGAGGAGCUCGUCCGAUCGAUGCCAUUCGAGCCGAGCUCCAGCGCCUGGGCGUCGAUCGUGAGCUCUUGCAAGAUCCACAGGGAUUUCCAGCGCGGAGAGCGCAUCGCGAAGGAAGCCAUGCUUCGUGGCGGCAAGAGCAGUGGUUCCAUCCACGUCCUUUUCGCGAAUAUAAUCCAGGAGCAAAGUUAGGGGUCUUCAUAACUUAGGGUUUUGCUACGCGAGAAUGGCGACGCUGGCGGAUUCUUUUCUUGCCGAUCUCGACGAUCUCUCAGACAAUGAGGCGCCGGGCGAGGCGUUUUGGCAUCGCAGGAAGAAGCUGGAGAGGACGACGAGCUGGGAAAAGAGGAUGUGGAGAUGCCCG